CAGUGUGUACCGGAUUAUAGUAGACAAAAAUACCCUCAUUUAUCAUGGAUUCUAAGUUUUAAGGUCAAGGAUAUUUAAAUAAUUUUCAUUUUCAAAACUAAAAAAAAAAAAAAACCCCCAAACCCUUACUCACCUCCCUCAUUCCUCUCAACCCUUUCUCUUUCAUUUCUCUCACUCUAACAUUUUCUCUGUCAUCCCUAUUGCCCCAAUCGAAAAAAAAAAUCAGAAAC
rnacentral:lncRNA from 1 species